UAGGGAAUCUUCCGCAAUGGACGCAAGUCUGACGGAGCAACGCCGCGUGAGUGAAGAAGGAUUUCGGUUCGUAAAACUCUGUUGUUAGAGAAGAACAGCGCAUAGAGUAACUGUUAUGCGUGUGACGGUAUCUAACCAGAAAGCCACGGCUAACUACGUGCCAGCAGCCGCGGUAAUACGUAGGUGGCAAGCGUUGUCCGGAUUUAUUGGGCGUAAAGCGAGCGCAGGCGGUCAAUUAAGUCUGAUGUGAAAGCCCCCGGCUCAACCGGGGAGGGUCAUUGGAAACUGGUUGACUUGAGUGCAGAAGAGGAGAGUGGAAUUCCAUGUGUAGCGGUGAAAUGCGUAGAUAUAUGGAGGAACACCAGUGGCGAAGGCGACUCUCUGGUCUGUAAAUGACGCUGAGGCUCGAAAGCGUGGGUAGCAAACAGG
rnacentral:rRNA from 1 species